rnacentral:rRNA from 1 species
CCUACGGGUGGCUGCAGUGGGGAAUAUUGCACAAUGGGCGCAAGCCUGAUGCAGCCAUGCCGCGUGUGUGAAGAAGGCCUUCGGGUUGUAAAGCACUUUCAGCGGGGAGGAAGGCGGUGAGGUUAAUAACCUCAUCGAUUGACGUUACCCGCAGAAGAAGCACCGGCUAACUCCGUGCCAGCAGCCGCGGUAAUACGGAGGGUGCAAGCGUUAAUCGGAAUUACUGGGCGUAAAGCGCACGCAGGCGGUCUGUCAAGUCGGAUGUGAAAUCCCCGGGCUCAACCUGGGAACUGCAUUCGAAACUGGCAGGCUAGAGUCUUGUAGAGGGGGGUAGAAUUCCAGGUGUAGCGGUGAAAUGCGUAGAGAUCUGGAGGAAUACCGGUGGCGAAGGCGGCCCCCUGGGCAAAGACUGACGCUCAGGUGCGAAAGCGUGGGGAGCAAACAGGAUUAGAUACCCUUGUAGUC